GAUGAACGCUGGCGGCGUGCCUAAUACAUGCAAGUCGAGCGAACGGACGAGAAGCUUGCUUCUCUGAUGUUAGCGGCGGACGGGUGAGUAACACGUGGAUAACCUACCUAUAAGACUGGGAUAACUUCGGGAAACCGGAGCUAAUACCGGAUAAUAUUUUGAACCGCAUGGUUCAAAAGUGAAAGACGGUCUUGCUGUCACUUAUAGAUGGAUCCGCGCUGCAUUAGCUAGUUGGUAAGGUAACGGCUUACCAAGGCAACGAUGCAUAGCCGACCUGAGAGGGUGAUCGGCCACACUGGAACUGAGACACGGUCCAGACUCCGACGGGAGGCAGCAGUAGGGAAUCUUCCGCAAUGGGCGAAAGCCUGACGGAGCAACGCCGCGUGAGUGAUGAAGGUCUUCGGAUCGUAAAACUCUGUUAUUAGGGAAGAACAUAUGUGUAAGUAACUGUGCACAUCUUGACGGUACCGAAUCAGAAAGCCACGGCUAACUACGU
rnacentral:rRNA from 1 species